rnacentral:rRNA from 1 species
UGGGAAUAUUGCACAAUGGGCGAAAGCCUGAUGCAGCAACGCCGCGUGCGGGAUGACGGCCUUCGGGUUGUAAACCGCUUUCAGCAGGGACGAAGGUUUUCUGACGGUACCUGCAGAAGAAGCACCGGCUAACUACGUGCCAGCAGCCGCGGUGAUACGUAGGGUGCGAGCGUUGUCCGGAAUUAUUGGGCGUAAAGAGCUUGUAGGCGGUCCGUUGCGUCGGAAGUGAAACUCAGGGCUUAACCCUGAGCCUGCUUUCGAUACGGGCGGACUUGAGGGAUGUAGGGGAGAACGGAAUUCCUGGUGGAGCGGUGGAAUGCGCAGAUAUCAGGAGGAACACCAGUGGCGAAGGCGGUUCUCUGGACAUUUCCUGACGCUGAGAAGCGAAAGCGUGGGGAGCAAACAGGCUUAGAUACCCUGGUAGUCCACGCCGUAAACGGUGGCACUAGGUGUGGGACCCAUUCCACGGGUUCCGUGCCGUAGCUAACG